UGCUUUAGAGGAGUGAAAGACUUCUGUGCUCUCCCUCCUCACUGUGCUUCAAAAUCGGGCAAGGUUAAACCUGCAUUUAAAUAGAAAUGGCACUGUCUGCAAACUUCAGUCAAAGGAGGAAAAGGUGGGAAAGGAAAAGAAAGGCCACUGAGCAUCUCCUAGGUUAGAGCUGAUUUUCCAGGAGCACCCUGGGCUGGACACAAAAACUGGAGUGGGAGAAACGGCAGGCAAUGUUUCCGCUUGGAAGGAGCGCUUUCCGGCUUGCUGAGGAACUGUUGCUAUGGAAACAGGCUCCAGGGAACGUAGCUGGGAGAAGGAGAGUGGCCUAAUAGAAAAAGCAUGGCAUUGAGAUUCAGGAGAGCAGGACUUAACUUCUCCAUGCAUCAGUUUCCUCAUCCAUAAC